CCUACGGGUGGCAGCAGUCGAGAAUUAUUCACAAUGGGGGAAACCCUGAUGGUGCGACGCCGCGUGGGGGAAUGAAGUUCUUCGGAUUGUAAACCCCUGUCAUGUGGGAGCAAAUUAAAAAGAUAGUACCACAAGAGGAAGAGACGGCUAACUCUGUGCCAGCAGCCGCGGUAAUACAGAGGUCUCAAGCGUUGUUCGGAAUCACUGGGCGUAAAGCGUGCGUAGGCUGUUUCGUAAGUCGUGUGUGAAAGGCGCGGGCUCAACCCGCGGACGGCACAUGAUACUGCGAGACUAGAGUAAGGGAGGGGGAACCGGAAUUCUCGGUGUAGCAGUGAAAUGCGUAGAUAUCGAGAGGAACACUCGUGGCGAAGGCGGGUUCCUGGACAGUAACUGACGCUGAGGCACGAAGGCCAGGGGAGCGAAAGGGAUUAGAUACCCUGGUAGUC
rnacentral:rRNA from 1 species